rnacentral:sRNA from 1 species
UUACCUGAUAUGACGGCCUCUACAGAA